rnacentral:tRNA from 1 species
AAGAUUUUAAGUUAAUUAAACUAUUAACCUUCAAAGUUAACAUUAAUUUCUAAAAUUAAAUCUUA